AUCCAGAUGAAGAAUCCCAAAUAGGACGAAAUGCGCAUCCUGGAU
rnacentral:hammerhead_ribozyme from 1 species